rnacentral:rRNA from 1 species
UACGAAGGGGGCUAGCGUUGCUCGGAAUUACUGGGCGUAAAGGGCGCGUAGGCGGCACUGUUAGUCAGGCGUGAAAUUCCUGGGCUCAACCUGGGGACUGCGCUUGAUACGGCAGAGCUUGAGGAUGGAAGAGGGUCGCGGAAUUCCCAGUGUAGAGGUGAAAUUCGUAGAUAUUGGGAAGAACACCGGUGGCGAAGGCGGCGACCUGGUCCAUUACUGACGCUGAGGCGCGACAGCGUGGGGGAGCAAACAGG